rnacentral:lncRNA from 1 species
GUGGCUUGGGACCGUGUGGAGAGUGCGGGCGCUGGACAGCAGCUCCGGCCCCUCACCGACGCGCAGCCCGCGCCUGGGCCGACCUGUUGACUGAAAAUCAGCCGGCGCUUGGCCAGAUGCGUCGAUGGAGGCCCGCAGCCCAGCGACGACGUGGUAGUCAUGGCUGAAGCGGCGCCUGCCCCGAAAUCACACUGUGGACCGUGGUGCCUGCUGUUCAGGCCUUGGAGAAGAAAAGUGGAUUCUUGCCUGGCCCGCUUGCUGACUCUGGAGGGAUGCUCAGGGACAGCAGAGAAGAAGCUGGCUGACUGUGAGAAGACAGCUGUGGAGUUCAGCAGCCAGCUGGAGGGCAAGUUGGCCGUGCUGGGGACCCUGCCUCAGGAGUCUAGGCUGCUGCAUGAAGAACCUCAUGGGCAACUGGAACUUCUGGGUCCAGCGGCUUCCCCCUGGCAACAAGGGGGAGGUCCCCAAGAGUGGGCCAAGCUGGAGGACUGGCAGAAGAGGCUCGACAAGCAUGUGAUGGGGGCAGCUAUGAGAUGCUCGUUUCCCUGGGUGAGGCUGUGUAAGACCCCCUUUCGGGGAUCCCCACUCUAGUAUCAGGAGUGAGAGAGCACCCAAAGAAACACGAGGACCCAUCUUGCUGUAAUCACAUGAGGCAGUUUAAUGACGGAGCUCCGGACCGACAUGCAUCUCACAUAGGAGAUAAUGGAUGUCGGCCACGAGGCUCGAAAGCUAGGGUUUUUUAUGGGGUGAGGGGCUUAGGGGUGUGGGAUUCAGCAUAGCGACACACUAUUGGCUUAUUCAAACAUUAACAGAAAGAUUACAUGUCAGCAAAAGGGCAUCAGGACUUUGUUCCUGUGGGCUGGGGGCUUAUCUUUGUUCACAUAGCAACCAGUUGAUGUAUGACUUUACCCAGCGUCAAGGGGCAGUAGACAGAGGGGAGGUUCUGGCCAGGUGGUGUUGACCCAGAAGAUAGCCCUGCUUGUCCUUGCAUUUUUUUCAUUUUUACAGUCAAGCUGUUCUUAGGAAUGUCUUAACAACAGCCCUGUCUGUUCUGCUUUGUUCUCAGCCCCAGGCUGCGGGCUCAUAGACAACUCUUUUACAUGAAUCACAGGUUACAAAAUCUCAUUUUCCUUCAGCUGCAGAGGAAUACCUGGGCUUUCAUCCUACAAUGGCUUCCUGCUGUCUUUGCUUUUGCUUUAGGCAGCCAGACUCAGAUUUUUCUCCAUGCCCUCCCCAUUGUGUAUGCAGAUUAUGCCAUCUCCAAACCGGUCAUUCUCACCCAGAUAGAGAGGGGAGAAGAGCCUUGUCCUGCAGGCCCCUGGGGCCAGGAGAAGGGGGGUGAGGAGAAGACAAUAUGUCAAAGGAAACCAAACACCAGUAAGUAUUGGUACAUCCUGAGACUGCUGGGGCAAAGUGAACAACAAACUGCUUUCCUGGGUAGACUGGACCAUUUUGGAGCUGGAAAAAGCCCCUUACCCAGAGCUGGCUACACUUUGUCUGCGGCUUCUCUGAGCAGGAGUAAAGAGAAGGCUUCUCCUUAGAACUGUAAGGAUUCUCCUCUGUAUAGGAGGCACCAGCACAAAAGGGAUGGCUGUGAGGUCAGAGGUGGCAAAUGGAGAUCAAGGAUAUAAUAGGCAUCUUCUGAGUGAGUGGAUGGUCAGUUAUGGCAAAGCAUCUACUUUGUGCCACCUGCAGUGGUACCCAUGCCAUCUGCCAUCACUGUUGUUCAGCUGACAGCAGCAGGAGACUGCAGAUGCUCUUCUGCUUCUCUCUGGGAUGGAUCCUUGGGGGACAAGGCUAGGACUGCUCUGCAGCCAGUGUUUAACAAUGACUCCUCUGGGGGUUGGUGAGGAGGCUCGGUGGUUAAGAGCACUGACUGUUGUAGCAGGGAUCAUGUUCAGUUCCCAGCACACACAUGGCAACUUAGAGCUGGCCUUAACUCCAGUUUAGGUAAUCUGGUGCCCUCUUCUGGCCUCUGUGGGCAGGAGUCAUGGAUACAUGAAAGCAAAACACUCAUAUUCUCCCUUUCCCACACACAUACAAAAUUAUUUACUUAUUUUAUUUUUGGUUAUUUAAUUCAGAGUCUCACUAUUAGGGAGCUCUGACUAUCCUGGAAUUCACUAUGUAGGCCAGGCUGGCCUUGAACUCAUGGAGAUCUGCCUGUUUCUUUCUCCCAAGUGCUAGAAUUAAAGACCUGUGCCACCAUGUUGGCAAUAAAAUAACUAUAUCUUUAAAAAUAUUUAGGGCUGGUAAGAUCGCUCAGUGGUUAAGAGCACUGACUACUCUUUCGAAGGUCCUGAGUUCAAAUCCCAGCAACCACAUGGUGGCUCACAACCAUCUGUAACGAGAUCUGACGCCCUCCUCUGGAAUGUCUGAAGACAGCUACAGUGAACUUAUAUAUAACAAAGUAAAUAAAUCUUUAUAUAAAAAAAUAUUUAAACAUAACCCAAAGUAGAACAGGACAGUAAUCAUUGUCACUGAUCUUCAGGGGUGAGCUUUUGGCAAGCCUAGGUUAUAAGGUGAGACCUUGUAUCAAAGAGAGAAGAAAGGAAAAAAAAAUCAGUAAUAGAAAUGUACUACCCGUCUCUUUCUAGACAUAACCACAAUAUCAUCACCCACCCACAGAAAAUUAUCUAACACCUGGUCCUUAUUUCUGUUUUCAGUAGGAACAUGGAUCUUAACUUUAAUAACCCAAAGUCCACAUACUGCACUUGGUUUAUGUCUUUUAAAUCU